GUAGUCUCGCACAGAUGCAUAUCAAUAAGCGGAGGAAAAGAAACUAACAAGGAUUCCCCUAGUAACGGCGAGUGAAGCGGGAAGAGCUCAAAUUUGAAAUCUUAAAGGGUUUCCCUUUACGAAUUGUAGUUUAAAGAAGUGUUUUCUGUUGAGGUUUUGGUAAAAGUUCUUUGGAAUAGGACAUCAUAGAGGGUGAGAAUCCCGUAUUUGACCUUUACUUUCAACUUUGUGAUACACUUUCAAAGAGUCGGAUUGUUUGGGAAUGCAGUCCAAAAUGGGUGGUAAAUUUCAUCUAAAGCUAAAUAUUGGCGAGAGACCGAUAGCGAACAAGUACCGUGAGGGAAAGAUGAAAAGAACUUUGAAAAGAGAGUUAAACAGUACGUGAAAUUGUCAAAAGGGAAGCGUUUGACACCAGUGUUGUUUUUCUGAAAAUCAAUUAAAGAACUGUUUAUGCUAAGCUGUUUAGACUUUAUCAGCUAACUGUUUAGUUUUGAGCUUUUCUUUAAUGCACUUUUCAGUUAACAGGUCAACAUCAAUUUCUUUUGCUGUAAAAAAGCUUGAGGAAGGUGGCUUGAGAUUCGUCUUAAGUGUUUAUAGCCUCUUGCCUAUGCAGUCGGAGAGAUUGAGGUCUGCAGCGUAGAUCCUUCGGGGCUAAAUGCAUUUGUGCUAAGUUAUAGCAUUUUAUAGACAACUUGUUGACUAUGAUUUGUCUUGUAGCUUACUCGCUUAUGUUAUUUUACCUACGCUUAGGAUGUUGAAGACUCUACAGAGAUA
rnacentral:rRNA from 1 species